CCAAUUCAUAAACCCCCCCCCCCCUCUCUCUCUCUCUCUAAAACAGUCUCUCUCUCUGUCCGUUGUAGUAGUAGUCGCAGCCAUGCGGAACCUAAUCUCCGGGAGUAUAAUCAGUAAGGUCCGCCGUGGAAUGAGCAGCCCAUUGAGUCCAUCUCCGGCGAGUCGAAGGGGGUACAGUCUGAUACCAAUGGUGAUCGAGCACUCCUCCAGAGGUGAGAGAGCCUACGACAUCUUCUCUCGCCUCCUCAAGGAGCGAAUCGUCUGUAUCAACGGCCCUAUCUCCGACGACACUGCUCAUGUCGUCGUCGCUCAGCUUCUCUACCUUGAGUCCGAGAACCCUUCCAAACCCAUCAACAUGUACCUCAACUCCCCCGGCGGCGCCGUCACUGCAGGUCUUGCAAUUUAUGAUACAAUGCAGUACAUUCGAUCUCCCAUCAGUACUAUUUGUUUGGGUCAAGCUGCAUCCAUGGCUUCUCUCCUUUUGGCUGCUGGGGCAAAGGGUGAGCGGCGGUCUCUCCCUAAUGCAACAAUAAUGAUUCAUCAGCCUUCGGGUGGGUACAGCGGGCAGGCUAAAGAUCUGACCAUUCACACAAAGCAAAUUGUACGGGUGUGGGAUGUAUUGAAUGCAUUAUAUACAAAGCAUACGGGACAGCCCAUAGAAACAAUUGAGAAGAACAUGGAUCGGGAUUAUUUUAUGACUGCAGAAGAGGCAAAGGAAUUUGGGAUAAUUGAUGAUGUUAUUGAUCAGAGACCAAUGGCUCUAGUUACGGAUGCUGUUGGGGAUAAGGCCAAAGAUAAAGGCUCAAAUUAGUAUUUGAGGAUAAGGCUGUGGAAGGAAAAGUAUGAUAAGUUUUACAAGAUGAGGUGCUUGCCUUUUCAAAUGGGAUUGUUGUGUGGAGGUGGUCAUUUGUGGUGGUGUGCUGUGGUCGUUGUGACAUUAAUGGAGGUUGCUAGAGUGAACGGGGUGUCAGCAGCUUUGGUGUAAUGAGAAUCAGCAGGGAAGAGUUAUCGAAGAUUUGUACAGAGAUGCAUGGACUUCUUGCUGGUGGAAAAGAAGUGGCAGUUUUAUAUAGUUGUUAGUUAGAUGGUUCCUGGUCAGCAUCUCUGUCCUUUACGGGGUGUUUGUUUUCUAGUACCUGAGCUAACACUGUUGAUUUGUUGGAUUAUAUAAGUGAUCAGUUGCUUCCAUUUUGAAGUUUAUUAGUCUAAUGGUCAUUUUUGAGACAAAGAUUGCAUUAGCAAGAAGCUUAGUAAGUUAUCUUUCUGUUCAUCUCCUUUGUUAUGAUUCACAGCAAGGUCUAUGAACUGGACAUGUUGAUCAAUUUGUUGGCGAUUGUAUGAGCAGACAUGGACUUAGCAUGGUCCAUGAAAUUUUCUGUUUCGGCAUUUGUGUUGUCCAAAGAUUUGUUCUCUUGUUUUGUACAUGCUAUAUUUUGAUGCCAUUUGCGGGGACACUGCAGUUCCGUGGUUCGUUUUA